UAUUGCUUUUAAAUUUUAAAUUGCCAGCUUUGCAGAUAAAAAUGACGUGAAAAUGAUGACAUUUGACAGCGAAAAUGAACURCACAAAAUCAAGGAAGCAUGCCCUGAUGCCAAGCUUCUUCUGCGGUUACGUCCUAAAGAAUCAAAGGCCUUGCAUGGUUUCAGCUGCGCGAAAUUCGGAUGUACUUUGUCAAACUGUGCACAUCUCCUGUCAGUUGCAAAGAGCCUUAGUCUGGAAGUGGUUGGUGUCAGGUAACAUUCUAGAAGGUUUAGAGCUAUUUUA